CAUCAGCUUCGUUGGACUGUUAUAAUUUUGAACUGUUUUGGAGGGAAGGGAAUAUAGCAGACAAUUGCCCAGUAUUCGACUGCAGGUCAGGCGAUGACGAAGGGCACAAAAUCAUGCAGUGUGCAGCGAGUGGAUGUAUAGGCUUGCGGAUCAGUGGAGACAGAGAGGCUUCAUACUGAAGAAACCAGGGGAAAGAGACAAGACUGCUCAUCAGAUCCUUACAGCUGUAUCUAUCGUAACAUUUUUGCCUAGGUAGAUGAUUGCAAUUGUGGCUGGUGACUGGAAGGGUGAUUUCUGUACAUUUACCCUAUAUUUUCAAAGAAAAAAAUAAACAUUUUUCUCAGUGUU